GACGAACGCUGGCGGCGUGCUUAACACAUGCAAGUCGAACGGGGUUACGAGAGCUUGCUCUUGUAACUUAGUGGCGAACGGGUGAGUAACGCGUGAGAAACCUGCCUUUCAGUGGGGGACAACAGUUGGAAACGACUGCUAAUACCGCAUGAUACUUUCCGAGGGCAUCCUUGGAAAGUCAAAGCUUUAUGUGCUGAAAGAUGGUCUCGCGUCUGAUUAGCUAGAUGGCGGGGUAACGGCCCACCAUGGCGACGAUCAGUAGCCGGUCUGAGAGGAUGAACGGCCACAUUGGGACUGAGAUACGGCCCAGACUCCUACGGGAGGCAGCAGUGGGGAAUAUUGGGCAAUGGGGGGAAACCCUGACCCAGCAACGCCGCGUGAAGGAUGACGGUCUUCGGAUUGUAAACCUCUGUCUUUAGGGACGAUAAUGACGGUACCUAAGGAGGAAGCCACGGCUAACUACGUG
rnacentral:rRNA from 1 species